UGGCAGACAGACAGGUGUGAGCGGCGGCAGACAGACAGGUGUGAGCGGCAGACAGACAGGUGUGAGCGGCGGCAGACAGACAGGUGUGAGCGGCAGACAGACAGGUACGAGCGGCGGCAGACAGACAGGUGUGAGCGGCGGCAGACAGACAGGUGUGAGCGGCGGCAGACAGACAGGUGUGAGCGGCGGCAGACAGACAGGUGUGAGCGGCAGACAGACAGGUGUGAGCGGCGGCAGACAGAGAGGUGUGAGCGGCGGCAGAC